GGCGAUAUGGCCGAGCGGUCUAAGGCGCCAGAAUCAGGAUGAUGUCCUAUCUGGUCCUCACGGGCGUGGGUUCGAAUCCCACUGUCGUCA